GUCCUUUAACUCAGCGCUGCGUCAUAAACACGGAGCGCUUGGAAGACCACGAUGUCAUCUUCCUUCUGUCAGGAUCAAAGUGAAGCUACAGGAGUUUCAUUAACGUCAACAACUUGGACCGAACAGUUUGUUUUGCUUGAUGAAGAGCAGGAAGGGCAGCCUGGAGAGAAAGAGAAGCCGGGUUGAGCCCACUACCAUCAUCCACGUACCACGAGGAAGAUGAGGGAGAGAAAUGAUCCUACCAUUAAAGAGACUGUGAAAAGAACGUUGAGAACAUCACCACUCUACAGGAAGACACAGUCCAGUAAUGGGUGUCAGAAGUUCAGUAGUGAACGACAGAAACAAACAAUCAAAAUUACCUGCAGAAAGCCCUUGAUGGACGCUUCAGCUGCAUCGUCAGACUGGUGAGACAGCAAGAUGCCAACUUUAAUGCCAAUUUAUUUGUGUAACAUUCUGUGACCAAAUGUAUAGAUAACUUUUUGUAGAUUGUAAAAAUAGAUAACCCAUUUAUUACAAAAAAACGACACCAGAAUUACCGCACUGCGUUGUAUGACUCCGCUAACCAGAGCAGUGUCCGUCUACAUAUUUCUACAUAUUUUCUCUCAUAUAAAUGACACUGUAUCUCUUGACAACUGAAACCAUAAGAUGAGGUCAGUGUGGCCUUGACCUUUUUACUUUAAGACAAAUACAAAGUUAGACAAUCCGAAAACAUGCAGUUAUGCCUCCGUCGACUCGCUAUUGCAGAGGCAUUAAAACCGUAGUGUAGUAGAUUGGAUUUUAUUGGUGUUACAUUGGACAUCUUGUAUGGGUACACCAAAAAAUAUAUUUGGUUUCACAUUCUAGAUGGCAAUAAGCAGAGUCAUCAACUCAGGAAAAAUAUUUCUGUAGAAAAGAAAGCCUUGUAUGUGUGUGUAUGUAUACAUACACACAAACGCACAAUUGAGACGUUUUUGUCUUUUAUCAUAUAUUCUCAGGCAGUACUGAUGCAUUUACUGAGACGGGACGUGAGGGCCUACUCUGCGUGCUCAGAGUUCAAGCCCAGCAGGCUGCAGCGGGCCUGACAUAUUCUGGAACAGCAGCACAGUCUUUGGAUGACUCCUCUGAAGAUGAAAACAU